GAUGAACGCUGGCGGCGUGCCUAAUACAUGCAAGUCGAGCGAACAGACGAGGAGCUUGCUCCCUCGACGUUAGCGGCGGACGGGCGAGUAACACGUAGGUAACCUACCUAUAAGACUGGGAUAACUUCGGGAAACCGGAGCUAAAACCGUAAAAUAUCUCGAACUGAAUGGUUCCAUAGUGAAAGAUGGCUAUGCUAUAACUUAUAACUGGACCUGCGCCGUAUUAGCUAGUUGGUAAGGUAACGGCUUACCAAGGAAAUGAUACGUAGCCGACCUGAGAGGGGGAUCGGCCACCCGGGAACUGAGACACGCUCCGGACUCCUACGGGGGGAGGCAGUAGGGAAUCUUCCGCAAUGGGCGAAGGCCUGACGGAGCAAGGCCGCGGGGGGGAUGAAGUUCUUCGGAUCGUAAAACUCUGUUAUUAGGAAAGAACAAACGUGUAAGUAACUGUGCACGUUUUGACGGUACCUAAUCAGAAAGCCACGGCUAACUACGUG
rnacentral:rRNA from 1 species